UGUUGUUUUCCUGGCAACGCAAGGAUAAUGCAAGUUACAUUCAUUCAUUGGUUUAACGGGGCAAAGAGAUGCAGCCUUUAAUUCUGUGGACAGCUGUCUGCUUUCAAUGGAUUUUAACACCAACUAAGUUGA